UUUCCCGCUUAGAGGUCGACAAGAAAGGACGACAUAUCAAAAGAAAUGGAAGUAGACCACACAUGCGAGGUUUUUUUUUGAUUUGGGUGGGCUAUGGGACACCACAAUUGACGAUAUUACUCUUUCGCAAGCAAGUGAGCAGAUAGAGAAGGAGAUUGAGUGCGAAAAUUUGUUGGAGAACAUCGCGUUGUCUCAAGCGAUCGACUUGUUCAAUCCCGGACCUGCCGACAUGGAAUCGAACUACUUUGUGGAUUUUGACCUCCUUGCGAAAAAAGAGGGAGGAUCUAGCUUAAUGAUAAUGACUUGAAAGAUUUGCUCAAUUCGACAGAAAACAGUCAACAAAUUAUCUACAAUUAUGAAAAAUAUGUGCGACAAAGCCGGAAUUCCCGGAUUCUUCUCUAAUCAUUCGGGUAAGCGCACCUGUGCAACCGCUCUUUACCAAGCCGGGGUUCCGAAACAGGAAAUCAUGGAACGCACAGGACAUAGAUCCAUCGAGAGUGUCCGUAAAUAUAAGCGUCCGAGUGAAGAGCUGCUGCGUGAUAUUUCCAUUGCAUUGGAGCCAAAUGAACCAGUCCGCAAAAAGGCCAAAAUCUUGGAUGGAAUUGAAAAUCCGAAGUGUGGAGAUUGUAAAAACAUGUUCAAUAACUGUAAAGUAUAUUUCAACCUUUGAAAGAGUCUUAAGUGUUGAGUAUUUUUUAUUUGUUAAAUGCCGUGUGUGAACUAGUUAUGUUUACCCAUACAGCCUGAUAGGCGAAACACGCACUAGAUUUGUUUGUCAUUUUUUGUUGGAUAAAAUUGAUGUCAAUUUGCAAUGAAAAAAAAUAUGC
rnacentral:sRNA from 1 species